rnacentral:rRNA from 1 species
GGCUCAGGAUGAACGCUAGCGGCAGGCUUAACACAUGNNAGUCGAGGGGCAGCGAGGGUAGCAAUACCUGUCGGCGACCGGCGCAAGGGUGCGUAACGCGUGAGCAACAUGCCCGUAUCAGGGGGAUAAUCCAGGGAAACUUGGUCUAAUACCCCAUAGUAAUUUGUUAUGGCAUCAUAAUAGAUUUAAAGCUUUGGUGGAUACGGAUUGGCUCGCGUGACAUUAGCUAGAUGGUAAGGUAACGGCUUACCAUGGCUACGAUGUCUAGGGGUUCUGAGAGGAAGGUCCCCCACACUGGAACUGAGACACGGUCCAGACUCCUACGGGAGGCAGCAGUGAGGAAUAUUGGACAAUGGAUGGAAAUCUGAUCCAGCCAUGCCGCGUGCAGGAAGACGGCCCUAUGGGUUGUAAACUGCUUUUGUAUGGGAGCAAUAAGCUAUUUGCGAAUAGUGAUGAGAGUACCAUACGAAUAAGCAUCGGCUAACUCCGUGCCA